rnacentral:rRNA from 1 species
AAUCAACGCUGGCGGCGUGCCUAACACAUGCAAGUCGAACGCGAAAGUCCCGCAAGGGGAUGAGUAGAGUGGCAAACGGGUGAGUAACGCGUGGGUGACCUGCCUUCGAGUGGGGGAUAACGUUCCGAAAGGACGCUAAUACCGCAUGACAUCCUGCCUUUGAAGAGGCGGAGAUCAAAGCCGGGGAUCGCAAGACCUGGCGCUUGACGAGGGGCCCGCGUCUGAUUAGCUAGUGGUGGGGUAAUGGCUCACCAAGGCAACGAUCAGUAUCCGGCCUGA